AAGCAUGUGGCUUUAUUUGCAUUUCCAAAAAAUCUGGAACAUCGUACAAAAUGGGUGAAAGCAUUGAAAAAUGUGGCCAUAAAAACAAAUAGCACUGUAUGUCAAGAACAUUUUAAUGAAACCUGUAUGUACAAAACUGGAUUGUCAUAGUUACGCUUGUACGAAGGAUCUGUAUCAUCUAUAUUUCCACAUGUUUCUAAUUUAAGCAUAACAGAAAGUAUACACUGUAACGAAAACAAUAAUGCAUCUUCUGAAGUAUUGAUGGAAGAUGAAUCAACAAUUGGUUCUCAUCAAGGACAAACACAAGAUGAUAUGACAUAUUCAACAAAAACCAAUAUUGUGGCGUCAAAUGAUAAAUGUUUAAUAAGAUAUCCAGGAGAUAUUACAACCGAAAAAGUGGCAAACAUGUCGUCAAGUAGUUUAAGGAAGUUUAAUUAUUAAAUUAUUAAAAAAGAUUACUUGCGAAACAUGUCUUUAUCU